rnacentral:rRNA from 1 species
UACGUAGGGGGCAAGCGUUAUCCGGAUUUACUGGGUGUAAAGGGAGCGUAGACGGCGCGGCAAGUCCGAAGUGAAAGGCGGGGGCCCAACCCCCGGACUGCUUUGGAAACUGUCAUGCUUGAGUGCGGGAGGGGCAGGCGGAAUUCCUAGUGUAGCGGUGAAAUGCGUAGAUAUUAGGAGGAACACCGGCGGCGAAGGCGGCCUGCUGGACCGUAACUGACGUUGAGGCUCGAAGGCGUGGGGAG